AACACUUUAGCACCCGUGGAAAUGCUGGGAUCCCCUCUUUAGCCUUUAUACAGGCAGGGUGUCUUCCAGCAUAAGCGAUGGCUUGUGUUCCCAGCCGAAACCGCCUGCUACGGUGGAUUUCCUCCCAAAUCCGCCUUUUCAGAUUCCUAAUGCAUUCCUGAAGUUUCAGCCUUUCAGCCAGAAACAGCCGUGACUGCCCGCGGCCCAGCAGCCGCCCUUGGUGAAGUGGCUGAGCAAAACCCCUUUCCGAGCGAGGUACCCGUGGAGAAAGCACUCUUCCCUUUCUAAAUAAAGCCAGGUCCAGCUGGGGGAUGGCGGGAGCCCAAGGAGCUGCUCACGCACAGGCUGAGUGCUGGUGCCGGGCGAGACGUCUGCCCCACGAGCGUGGCUUUUGGCACGGUCGGAGGAACACGAACACACCUGGUCUGGCAGCUGGGGACUCCCACGUCGAUGGCUUCGGUACAACGGUCCGGUGUCCCUUGGGAUGUCACAGGACGGAUGGGGGGAAGCCUGGCUGGGUGCUCAGGCGUGGGGGGUGUUCGGCGAGACCCCCCUCAGCAUCCCCUCCCACCAGCACAGGACAAGUUUACGAGCCUGGUGGAACUGAAAGUCCUUUUCCAAGCCCAAAAGCUCUGGGUUUUUUUUUUUCCAAAGAAAAUAGAUUACGAUAGAGAAACACUUUUCAGAGAAAGCUGCUGCUUCCUGUGAAAAACUUUAUAUCCCCAUAAAAAUACCAAAAGUCAACA